rnacentral:rRNA from 1 species
UACGUAGGUGGCAAGCGUUAUCCGGAUUUAUUGGGUGUAAAGGGCGUGUAGGCGGGAGUGCAAGUCAGAUGUGAAAACUCAGGGCUCAACCCUGAGCCUGCAUUUGAAACUGUACUUCUUGAGUGCUGGAGAGGCAAUCGGAAUUCCGUGUGUAGCGGUGAAAUGCGUAGAUAUACGGAGGAACACCAGUGGCGAAGGCGGCCUGCUGGGCUCUAACUGACGGUGAGGCGCGAAAGCGUGGGGAGCAA